rnacentral:rRNA from 1 species
CCUACGGGAGGCAGCAGUGAGGAAUAUUGGUCAAUGGGCGCAAGUCUGAUCCAGCUAUUCCGCGUGUGGGAUGAAGGCCCUCGGGUUGUAAACCACUUUUGUAGAGAACGAAAAGACCCCUUUUAAUAAAGGGUGUUGCUGACGGUACUCUAAGAAUAAGCACCGGCUAACUACGUGCCAGCAGCCGCGGUAAUACGUAGGGUGCGAGCGUUAAUCGAGAUUACUGGGCGUAAAGGGUGCGCAGGCGGGUGAGUAAGACAGAUGUGAAAUCCCCGAGAUUAACUCGGGAAUGGCAUAUGUGACUGCUCGACUAGAGUGUGUCAGAGGUAGGUGGAAUGCGUCGUGUAGCAGUGAAAUGCGUAGAUAUGUGGAAGAACACCGAUUGCGAAGGCAGCCUCCUGGGACAUAACUGACGCUCAGGCACGAAAGCGUGGGGAGCAAACAGGAUUAGAUACCCGGGUAGUC